AUGGGAACGCGAAGAACCUUACCUACUCUUGACAUCCAGAGAACUUUUCCAGAGAUGGAUUGGUGCCUUCGGGAACUCUGAGACAGGUGCCGCAUGGCUGUCGUCAGCUCGUGUUGUGAAAUGUUGGGUUAAGUCCCGCAACGAGCGCAACCCGUUAUCCUUUGUUGCCAGCGGUUAGGCCGGGAACUCAAAGGAGACUGCCAGUGAUAAAACUGGAGGAAGGUGGGGAUGACGUCAAGUCAUCAUGGCCCUUACGAGUAGGGCUACACACGUGCUACAAUGGCGCAUACAAAGAGAAGCGACCUCGCGAGAGCAAGCGGACCUCAUAAAGUGCGUCGUAGUCCGGAUUGGAGUCUGCAACUCGACUCCAUGAAGUCGGAAUCGCUAGUAAUCGUAGAUCAGAAUGCUACGGUGAAUACGUUCCCGGGUCUUGUACACACCG
rnacentral:rRNA from 1 species